UCAACGGGGUCUCGCCUUUCCGGUUGCUCUGCUGAGGAUUCCCCCCAUACCGUAACAACAGCUUCACCACCUACAAGACACGGAGGACUGCGUCAGAAGCUGAGGAACACGACCACUCUGCCUUCCCCGCCCAAAUGGCAGCCCAACUCAGGGGUCCCAGUGUGGGCCCCCAGCAGACACGUGGAGCACAGCCCAGCAGCUUGAGCCCAGAAGUUGUCUCAUGAAGCCCAGCACCGUGUGGAUCCCACCAAUAACCUGCACCAACAACAGCCCCUUGCCCCACUCACCAGCCAAGGCCUGCAUGGCAGAAACCUUUCACUCGCAGCAGGGAAAUCCCCAGGACCUCACAUGUGCCAG